UAUAUAAUAAUAUAAACUAUAAAAUAAUUUCAAAGUUUUAAGACGUUUAUAAUAUUAAAUGAAACAACUCAACUUUGUAUUGAAACGAUAUUUGUAACGAAAACGAUGAUUUUUGUUUUUAUGUGAAUGGCAACAGUGUGAACAAACAAGCAAAAAUGGAUGUUGAGUUUUGGGAUUUAUUUAACUAAGGGAGGGAUUUAUUUUAAGGUUGGGAUUUAUUUUAACUAACCUGUUUUAUUAUAAUUUGGACUAAAUAUUUUGGUCACCUGCUUACGUGAUACGGAAACAGAUGAGUCGUGGGUAUUAAAAAUGAUAUAAUUAAAUUUGAGAUCAUGGUUACGGAGGAUAUAUUGAGAAAAUGAAAGUGUAUUCACACUGCGUUUACGAAAAUCGUAAUUUGAAAAAAGAAGUGCCAAAUAGCGAAGUUGUAAAAAAGAAAUGUUUAACUUUAGAUCGUAUUUAGAAUGAAUUAAAAUACUGUCAUGAUAUAAUUAUGAAUAAUAUCGGAACAGAUGAAGAUUUUAAAAUGAAUAUGUUAAAAUGGAAGAAUAGGGAAAAAAUAGUUUUAGUGAGAGUAAAAAAUGAAAACUUCUUCAAUAAGAUGUGUUCAAUAAGAUCGAAAGCACAGCUGAAUCAGUAAUUUCAUCGCCAAAUGAAAUCGAAAUAUACGCCGACCAAAAAAUUGAAUUUCUACAUUUUAAUGAAGAUUUGAAGGACUAUUUAGGAUUUUAGAGCCAAUUUCAAAGGAUAUUUACUGAUGAGGAUUUCGAGCCGGAUGAUAAAUUUGAAUAUUUAUUACAGUGAAUUAUGCAAGGAAAUUGAGGGCGCGAAGUUAUUGAAAGUUUCCCUCCAACUUCAGAAAACUAUGAAAAGGCGAUUGAAUCUAUAAAGAACAGAUUUGAGAGAGAAGAAUUGUUGAUAGAAUUUUAUGUGAGCGAGUUAUUAGCUCUCGUCAUACAGAAUGAACAGAAAAACAAGGUGCAAGUCAAAUAUUUCAAAGUUCUAAGAAGUGUAUAGUAUUAAAUGAAUCAACUCAACGUUGUAUUGAAACGAUUUUUGUAACAAAAAAGAAGAUUUAUGUUUUUAUGUGAAUGGCAAUAGUGUGUAUAAACAAACGAAAAAAAGGAUGUCGAGUUUCGUGUGGUUUUAAUUUCUUUUAACUAACCUGUUUUAUUAUAAAUUGGAGAAAAUAUUAUUCAUCUUCCUCAUGCUCUAUUGAGACAUGCGUCUGAUGUAUUAAUAAGAGGAUAAAAUUUCGAUAUUUAUCUGCCAUAGGAUACAUGAACUUAUACAUGAUACACACACAUCGUAUUGAAGUUCUUGUAUAAUUUUGUCUGUCUUAUGCUUACUUUUCAAAAAACAUAAUUUUUGUAAUUUUUUGAAGUUUUUAGUAACUUCUUCAGUUACAAAAUUUAGAAAAUAUCAAAUAUUUUGAUAAAAUAUUAUUUCAAAUCUAAAUAAUAUUUUCUAACUUUAUUCUAAUAUUAAAAAAUAUUAGAAUAAUAUUACCAUUUGUUUUUAAAUAUAGUUGAUCAGACUCCCGUUUCAUUAUCUUUACUUAGUUUUUUCACCAUCUUCACCAGACCAUGCUGAAUGCCUGCUUAAAUAAUAUUGUAUACAAAUGUGACUGCAGUGCAAUAAUGCUAUUGUGGCUGCACAACAUUCCUACCACUAUUUAUAUCAUAUCACACACACACACACACACACAUAUAUAUAUAUGUGUGUGUGUGUGUGUGUGUGUGUGUGUGUGUGUGUGUGUGUGUGUGUGUGUGUGUGUGUGUGUGUGUGUGUGUGUGUGUGUGUGUGUGUGUGUGUUAUCGAUGCCGGAAAAGUGCAGGGGGUCCAAGGUUGGACCAAUUAUAUUUUGAAUCUAGAUAAUGACAUUUCCUUGCUCAGGAUUUGCCAGACUCAAAUAUGUCUAUUGGCCGACGACACUGCCCUCAUGAGCACCAGUGCAUCCGAACUGGUAAUAGAACAACGAAACAAAUACUUUGGCUGAUGGUUAAUCAUGUGAAAAAUAAAAUUUAACGCUCACAAAUGUUAAUAAGUUAUUUUCGGCAGAAGAAAAAUAGUUCCGAUCCUCCCAAAAGUAUAUAGAAAAUCCAAUUAAAUGGAGCAAUAAUACAAAACACUAAGGAGUAAUACUUGACAACAAAACCUAUAAGGAUCACAUCAGGCGCGUAAGAAACAAAUUUUUGGCCAUGAUAGCGAAAUUAUACUUUUUCUUGGGCAGAAAAGAAAAACUCUCUUUGAGAAACAAGCUCCUGUUCUACAAGGAAAUGCUUAGAUCCAUCAUGAGUUAUGCCUCCCCAGUGUGGGGUGCAAGCACCAAAACACGCAUCAAUAAACUGGAAAACCUACGAAACAUAGUUGCAAGGCAGAUAAAACACUCCCCAUGGUUUAUCUGAAAUAAAUAUAUCAAAAAUAUUUUAACUUUCCCUCCAGAAUAGAAUUCGCUCAAAACCCAGCAAAUAAUUUUUUCAAUAAAAUUCACUCUAAACCCGCAAUUAAAGCAAUACCGACCUACGAUCCCCUCAACCCAAAAAAGAAAAGGAGCCCUCGUGCCCUUGUCCCUAAAUUCAACAGCUGUGCUCCCAGAGCCUGAAAACUCUAGCGGGAAGCAUUGGAAAGGAAACGACACCAUGGAGCUCAUCCUCUCCCCCAACUGCUGGCCGUGCCUUUUCGAGACUUGUGAGGAAAGACCAAAGGGAUGAGGCUGAAAUGAGCAAAGACAAGAUAACAACCAUCUGAACCUGACCAGUUGAGCCGAACACACACCAGGUAUUACACAAAGAUGAUGUGAUCUUGAAGAUUGUAAUCCGUUGAGAUCGGGGAUCCGUCAAGAAACAUCACUACUGUGUUAGCUCAGACUUGCUUGUCGUGUCUAAAUGACUAAGCAACCAUCUACAUUGGUGAUCCGGCUUCUUUGACCACUCUUGCUGUGUGGAUCUGGUGCCUACUUUCCAACCUCGACUCUGCUAGUCUCAGUUUCAUUGAACUCUUCUGGAUGAUUCUACUAUCAGAAAUUUAAAGACAGAUUAUCAUGGAUGAAUAAAUGUUGCUCCAUCUUCUGUCUGCCACACCACGUCAGAAGCAGAUUAAUUGUCGAUCAGGAAAAAAAACAUGUUUCCAGGGUGCUAACAGAGCAAGACAAAUCUUAAAGUGGCAAAUCAUAGGAAAAAUUAAAGUGGGUUCAUAUGGUUUUGUUUGCAUCUGCCUUCUGCCACUCCUACAUCCGAAUUAGAGGAACAGUCGUCCUGGAAAUCAAAAACAUUUUUGAGCUAAUAACAGAAGUUGAAAAAAAAUUUCAAAGUUUUUGAGGACAAAGAAGAUAUUUUUUUUUCUCGUCUACUCCUAAAAAAGUACCGGUCUUCUCACUGAAUGGAAUUAUAUUCAAAAUAUAUGAAGACAACUUCAGCAUUGUACCAUAUGAAAGAACCAGAGUUAAAUACACCACAAGACGACUCACAGUUCUAUGAAAUUUUAUUUUUCAUUUUCUUGUUAUAAAUAAAGCAGUAAAUUCUUUUUCACAUUUCAGAAAAAAAAGUUUAUUUAAUUCAGAUUUUUACACUACUAAUGAUUUACAAAUUGAAAAAAAAAUGUAAUCAUCAUUUUGACCAGUUAUUUUUAUGCUUGAAAAUAAAAAUUUCUACAUUUGUUAAUGAAUAAGAACCUGCAUUUGAAAAUGAUUGUGAAUGUCUUGACAGCUCUUUAACUAUAUUAUUACAAAUCUGUAAUACUGCUUCCCAUCACGGUUAGUUCAAUCACUGGAAGGACUAUUUUAUGAUCAGCCCUAUUGGAUGCUGAUCGGGUGCCGAAUCAAUGAUCUCAGAGCUUGGCGACUUGACAAUAAAAUAUAUAAUACUGGAAUCUUCAAGAAUUUUAAUGGUAGGGCCAAUAGGAACCGAGAUAUGCCUGAUUGUUCCAGAACCUUCUCUGCCCGCCUCUGGGAACUAUAAAAGGCAGCAGUCUCAAGCCGAAGUCAGUCGUGUAUCAAGUUGUCAUCUUGGAAAGAGUCAAAGACGAAUAGUUGGAUCAGUCCAGUUUUGUGAAUCUCAAGCUAUUGCUGAAUUGAGAUGUGUGCCGAGUCUGGGGUUUAUUGUAGAAGCAGCAUGGAAUUGUGUGAGGAGUAACCAGUCAUGCAGUAGUGAGUCGGCAGUCGGAUACAUCUAAAGCGAUGAGACAGCGGAGAAUUGCAGACGUUUGGAGAGACCAUAGAGAGUAGCUACGAAGAUUCCCUCCUCCUUCUGAAUUCUGUCUGGCCGCCUUGUGGGCUGUGGUUGCUAUUACUACAAAUUACUACUUGUGGGCUACUGUUUAUUAUAGUGUGCUGCUGUGUGUUGCAUUUGUUCGUUUCGACUAUAUAUUUGUUGUCUUUGUAUUCGUUUAAUAAAUG